rnacentral:rRNA from 1 species
UACUCUGGCGGAGCCUAACACAUGCAGUCGAGCGAACUCUUCGGAGUGAGCGGCGGACGGGUUAGUAACGCGUGGGAACGUGCCCAGAUCUAAGGAAUAGCCACUGGAAACGGUGAGUAAUACCUUAUACGCCCUUCGGGGGAAAGAUUUAUCGGAUUUGGAUCGGCCCGCGUUAGAUUAGAUAGUUGGUGGGGUAACGGCCUACCAAGUCUACGAUCUAUAGCUGGUUUUAGAGGAUGAUCAGCAACACUGGGACUGAGACACGGCCCAGACUCCCACGGGAGGCAGCAGUGGGGAAUCUUGAACAAUGGGGGCAACCCUGAUCCAGCCAUGCCGCGUGAGUGAUGAAGGCCCUAGGGUCGUAAAGCUCUUUCGCCAGAGAUGGUAAUGACAGUAUCUGGUAAAGAAACCCCGGCUAACUCCGUGCCAGCAGCCGCGGGAAUACGGAGGGGGUUAGCGUUGUUCGGAAUUACUGGGCGUAAAGCGCGCGUAGGCGGAUCGGAAAGUUGGGGGUGAAAUCCCGGGGCUCAACCCCGGAACUGCCUCCAAAACUAUCGGUCUAGAGUUCGAGAGAGGUGAGUGGAAUUCCGAGUGUAGAGGUGAAAUUCGUAGAUAUUCGGAGGAACACCAGUGGCGAAGGCGGCUCACUGGCUCGAUACUGACGCUGAGGUGCGAAAGUGUGGGGAGCAAACAGGAUUAGAUACCCUGGUAGUCCACACCGUAAACGAUGAAUGCCAGUCGUCGGGUAGCAUGCUGCUCGGUGACACACCUAACGGAUUAGCAUUCCGCCUGGGGAGUACGGUCGCAAGAUUAAAACUCAAAUGAAUUUGACGG